GACGGAGGAUGCAAGUGUUAUCCGGAAUCACUGGGCGUAAAGCGUCUGUAGGUUGUUUAAAAAGUCUGCAGUUAAAGGUUGAAGCUUAACUUCAAAAAUGCCGUAGAAACUUUUAAACUAAGAGGAUGGUAGGGGUAGAGGGAAUUUCCAGUGGAGCGGUGAAAUGUGUAGAUAUUGGAAAGACCACCGAUGGCGAAGGCACUCUACUGGGCCAUGACUGACACUGAGAAGACGAAAGCUAGGGGGGGCAAAUGGG
rnacentral:rRNA from 1 species